rnacentral:lncRNA from 1 species
CCAUUUCUUGGUUCAGUGAAGUGAUUAUGUGGAUCUUGUGAGGAAAACAGAUAGGCCAAGAAGCCUGGGAGGUUGUCUACAGUCACUGGCCUGGUAUGUGACCUGCUUGCAUCUUCUAAAUUAUAUUCUAAAUUAGUAUGAAUUUUUUCUGCUCAAAAACAGUUUUCUAUGAUAUUUGUAAUUUCCACGUUUCGAUUGAGCUUCUUACGAUCUAUCAGUAAGGCCUCUCAGGUUUUAGAUUUGUGAUUAGAUCGUUGCAUAUAAGCCAAAAUGAGUCUAUGAUAAGGGAAAUAAACUAGCUACGCUUACCGUAUGGAUGAAACUGAAGAGUGAAGUGAUAUUUCUUUCUACCAUUGCAUAGCUUUACCAUCACCGAUCCAUGUUAAGUGUGAUUUGUUUCUCUGUACAUUAUUCGGAUACAAAGGAUUCGAGCUGAAAAGAAGAUGCAGUGGAGAACAUUAUCACAAGUUAGCAUUUCCUGUGAAACGAAGACCAUUAUAUAGAACAUUGAUUAAUUUGUAAAAAAAUGCUGAUAGCCAAAGGUUAAUGCUGAUAGACCAUUAUAUAUAAACACUUGAAAUAAUUCAGUUAUGGUUUCUAUCAAUAUAUUGUUUCUACUACAUAUAUAUAUUACUUUUAGCUGCGCAAUUUCGUCCGACAGCCAAAGGCUAGUCUAUUAGUAUCUUUUGUAUUUGAUGGGAUCUUGUAACGAGAAAAAACCUUCGGAGCAAGAAACAGGAAACUAAAGGCUUGAUAGUAUUGUACUAUUUUAUCUCACUGGAAAAUUAUGUGUACUCAUUAAUACGUGCAUUUGCACGUACACGAUUACUAGUUCCACAGUAAUUAGUACAACUCUGAACAUCCCCCUUGUUCUUGAAGAUUGGUACUAAUAUACUCCGUCUCCAUUCUCCUGGCAUCUUGUUUGCCCGAAAAAUGAGGUUGAAAAGCUUGGUUAGCCAUACCAUCGCUAUGUCCCCGAGACCUUUCCACACCUCAAUGGGGAUACAAUCAGGGCCCAUCGCCUUGCCUCUUUUCAUCCUUUUAAAAGCCUCCUUCACCUCAGACUCCUGGAUGCGCCGCACAAAACGCAUGCUGGUCUCAUCAAAGGAGUCAUUCAGUUCAAUGGUAGAACUCUCAUUCUCCCCAUUGAACAGCUUGUCGAAGUACUCCCGCCAUCUAUGCUUAAUCUCUUCGUCCUUCACCAAGAGUUGGCCUGCUCCGUCCUUGAUGCAUUUGACUUGGCCAAUAUCCCUCGUCUUCCUCUCCCGGAUCUUAGCCAUCUUAUAGAUGUCCCUUUCACCUUCCUUCGUGCCUAACCGUUGGUAGAGGUCCUCAUAUGCCCGACCCCUUGCUUCACCAACAGCUCGCUUUGCGGCCUUCUUCGCCAUCUUGUACUUCUCUAUGUUGUCUGCACUCCUAUCCAGGUAUAGGCGUCUGAAGCAAUCUUUCUUCUCUUUAAGCGCCUUCUGGACAUCAUCAUUCCACCACCAGGUAUCCUUAUCUUCGCUUCUCCUUCCCCUGGACACUUCAAACUCCUCCGAGGCCACCUUACGGAUGCAAGUCGCCAUCUUCAUCCACACAUUGUCCGCAUCCCCUCCUUCCUCCCAAGGGCCCUCCUUAAAUACCCUCUCCUUGAACACCUGAGCUACCUCCCCCUUGAGCUUCCACCACUUCGUUCUAGCGACCUUGGCACGCUUAUCCCGCUGGACACGAAUCCGAAAGCGGAAGUCAGCAACCACCAGCUUAUGCUGGGGUACAACACUCUCCCCAGGUAUCACCUUACAGUCUAGGCACACACGCCUAUCUUCUCUUCUCGAGAGGAUGAAAUCAAUCUUGCUAGAGUGUUGGCCACUACUAAAAGUCACCAGAUGUGAUUCUCUCUUUCUAAAGAGGGUGUUAGCUACAAUCAUGUUGUAGGCUAGAGCAAAGCUUAAGACAUCUUCUCCUUCUUGAUUCCUAAUGCCAUAGCCAAAGCCCCCAUGCGCCCCUUCAAAACCUGUGUUAGAUGUACCCACGUGGCCAUUGAGGUCUCCUCCUAUGAAGAGCUUCUCACCAAUCGGUACACUCCUAACCAUGUCUUCCAAGCCUUCCCAGAACUCCCUCUUGGUGUUCUCAUUGUGGCCUACUUGCGGGGCAUAUGCGCUGAUAACAUUGAGAACCAAGUCCUCAGCUACCAGUUUGACCAGGAUAAUCCGGUCCCCACGUCUCCUGACGUCUACCACUUCAUACUUGAGGCUCUUGUUGAUCAAGAUGCCUACGCCAUUUCUGUUUGCAGCCGUCCCCGUGUACCACAGCUUGAAGCCGAUAUCCUCCACCUCCUUCGCCUUCUAUCCUCUUCAUUUGGUUUCUUGGACGCAAAGGAUAUCAACACCUCUCCUCACUGCUGCAUCAACUAGCUCCCGAAGCUUCCCUGUCAGAGACCCUACGUUCCAGCUACCUAAGCGAAUCCUCCUAGGCUCGGCUAGCUUCCUUACCCUUCGCACUCGUCGAGUCAAAUGCGAAGACCCUUGCUCAUUUUCCACUACAUCCGGGCGCCGAUGUAGCGCGCCACUAAGGAUGCGACGACCCGAUCCUCGCUCACUUGCCACCGUAUCCGGAUCAAGAUACGGCGCGCCACUUGGGGGGUGACGGCCCGGCCCUUGCCCAUUUUCCACCACACCCGGGUUCCGAUGUGGCGCGUCGCUGAGAGGGUUAAGCCCCAACGAAAAUCUUUUGGGUUUCAUCUCCAUAAGAGUGGCUGAGUUUUUAUGUUGGCUCGCCAAGCCUAUCACAACCCUCCUCCUUUACCCGGGCUUAGGACCGGCUAUGUUGAGACAACAUAGGCAGAGUUAAAAGGGCAACCUGGUGCAUGUAGCUCCCGCUUGCGCAGGGUCCAGGGAAGGGUCCGACCACUUUGGGUCUAUAGUACGUAGCCUUUCCCUACAUUUUUGUAAGAGGCUGUUUCCAGGACUUGAACCCAUGACCUCAUGGUCACAAGGCAGCAGCUUUACCACUGCGCCAAGGCUCCCCUUCUGGUCAGGAUCACACCGCUAACAGAAAAAUGUUGCCUUAUACAUUAUAAGGCAUUAGAUUCAGAUCUCAGCAUCUAGUUAUUCUGUAUCAACAAUUCUUGGGAUACAAUGAACCUCAAGGGCAAAGGUUUGAAUCUUACUUCAACCUUCAAUCCGACAACACCAGCUGUGACGGGACACUAUGAGCACGGAGAACGUGAUGGUUGAAUAUGCCUCAACCGACAUGUGUGGAGACUUCUUCUAGUCUCUCAAUCUCCUGAGUGGUCAACAUAAUUUAUGUCAAUUUACGAUGUUCUAAUAAGAACAUAAGUAUUGUUGUCAUCAUAUAUUGUAUAUCACAAUAUAUUGUAUCAGCACUUUGAUACACAUACAUUUGUAUGCAUUCUAUAUAUCUGACAGUGAUUUUCAUAUUGAGAAUCUUCAUGUCUAUAUAUAGAUUUCUACGCGAGUCAAUCCGAUGAAAAAUGAUAUGUGCCUUGUGGACAUAUGCACCACACACACUCUAUACUCAGGGAAGUCCAAUGUUUCCACUCUCAUUGAGAGAAAGGAGAUAUUUUAAAAUCGCUAGACGCGAUGAGGUAUUUGUUGGCUCAACUCGAGUCAUAUUUACUAUCCCUGUGGGUACUCGAGUAUCGUCAGGAUGCUUUAUUGCUUCCGGGUUUAGCUCAUACCCUACUAAACUAUAAAGGUAUCCGUCAAAAUAGUUUCCAUAGCGAAACUUAUGAUGACAACAAAGAGGAAUAUCUUCUCUUUACCAUAUGCAAUGGAUAUGGCAAGCAUAUUCUCUAUGUAUCAUUGGCAUUGCACUACACAUACUACAAAACCCGUAGCACAUGUUACGUACGAGAUAUUUUUCCAGAGUGUCUUUGGCAUGACAAACUUGGCAUUCCUGCUUUGGUCAUCAUUGGCAUUGGGUUGAAACCGAAACUAUCAGCAAUUCCAGUGGUUUAUGAUUAUUAUGAUGCUACAUUCUAACAAUAUUUGGAUUUUAUGUGCACUACAUGUGACACAAGGAGGCAAAUUUUAAGGCUUGUACACCUUAAAGUGUAUGUUGAACCACUCAGACUCCUUGAAUGCAUCAAGUCGAGAUAAGUGGCUCUUCCCAACCACUGAGUAGACUAUUCAGGUAUUCCAUGGUUCUAAAGGACAUAUCUACAUGAUGGUCUUAAGUGUGCUUUAUUCACACAAAACCAUUGGCUCAUUAUCCUGACAUCGAUUUCAAGCAAAUCGAAUGGAUAACCUUGUAGAAUUCUCCUUGAGUGCCUUCUUUAUGGCCCUUGGAUUGAAGUUUAGCAAUUUGUCCUAAUGUCUAGACUCAAAAUGGUUUGGUAGAAUCCUAUCCAAAGAGUUAAGCUCAUUGCAUAAUCUUUACUUUGGAAUUGCAACUUACCAACUUUACGUUGGAGUCAUGCAGUCUUACACUCUCAUGACCAAACUACAUUAUAUUAUUCCCUCUAUCUUUGAUACAUGGAAAUCUACCAAGUAUUUCCUAUCUGCGGUAAUUCGGUUACACACCGAUAUCACCACCCGGCUACAUCAUUGGCCCCUCAACAUAUAGUUGGGAUCUAUGUGAGGAAUAAUUGUAUUUCCAUCAAUACCUCAAGCCCCUCGAAUAGGGAGUUAUUCAAGGCCAGUAUGUUGAUUCAAUGAGGAAUAUUUCCAGGCAUUAGGGGGAGAAUUCAAGUACCAUAAAGAAUGCCAGGAAAUUAGUGGAAUGUUGAACACAUUUCUGCCUUAAAUCCACGUACUCAAAGAUCUGAACCAUGCGUUCAGAAGAUUUGCAACACAUUGCAAAUAACCUGCCAGAUUCAUUUACUGACUAUAAAGGUGUCACACAAUCCUACAAUCCCGCAAAAGUAUGCCUGAAAGAGUGGAGGUAGCAACAAAAUUCACUCCACUCCCCGUUCAAAGCAACAGGGGGAGAUGUAUGGCAGAAGUACAUCAGGAUUCAGCUUCUUGCAAACAAGGAUAUCAAGGCCUGUGAAUCAGUAAAUGUAAGUCAACUUCACGUUGAUAGACACCUAAUGGGUAGUAUACACCCAAUGGAUGGGAAACCUCCACCAACCCAGGUCAUAGUGCACAUAAUGACCGGGACAUCGGAAUACCCGACUCAAUCGCAUUGGGAAAUCGCGAGCAGUCACCAUGGGUAACGAUAUUUCCAUCAACAAUAUAUUGAUAUAUAGAUUCUGGAGAAUCAUAUAACCAAAAGUAUACAAUUGUCGACAACAUUUCUCAACUAGAUUGCAAAAACCUUUCAAAUGAUUCAGAUCCAAAGACCAUGGCCAUGGCAAAGUGUGAACAACACUCGGACUGAACUCAAGCAAAGGGUAUAAUCUAGGUAGAAAUGAUCUUGCUCAAUAAUAGGAAGGUAUUCAUAAGCAAUACCUACACCAGUUUUUUUUCUGGAAACGGAAUUGAGAACAAUAAGGUGGUGAAACAAAGAGCAAGUAUUGUAGCACAAGGGUUCACGCAGAUACCCAACUAUUCUCCAGAGGUGGAAUCUCUUUUCGAUAACUUAUAUCAUUGGCAGUACAAAAUCAUCUAUCUCUGCAGUUGAUAGAUGUAGUGAUUACAUAUCCAUGUGGAUCACUAGAUUCAGACAUAUAUGAUUGAUUUCCGAUGAAAUCUCAAUUCUGAAUCGAAAUACAAAAUGCAACAUACAUUGUGUAAAACUGGUAAGUCACCAUACGACUUAUUGUGGUCGGUACAUAUGGUACAACCGACGUAGUGAGUUCCUUAUACAAAAGGAUUACUCCUACAAAGAUGAUUAUGCAUGUUUGUAUGUCUGCAAUGACGACACAUGUAAUCAUUUAAUGAUGGAGUUUAAAUGAAGGAUUUGGGUAAACCAAAACACCGCUCGUUUCUACAACUUGAGCACCUUCAUUCAUACAUUAUGGUAUACUAUGUUGUCUAUAUCCAAGAUAUAUUGGAGAAAUUCAUUGUGGACAAAUAUUAUCAAUCCAUAACUCUCAUGGUAGUUCAUUCUCUAGACGUAGAGAAAGAUCUAUUUAGACCAAGAGAUGAUGGAAAUGAGAUAUUGGGACUCAACGUUCCAUAUGCCAUUGGACCGACCAAACAUAAUUGGUUGGUACUCAAGAAUAUCUUUCGAUAUCUCCAAGGCAUGAAACAUCUUGUCCUGUUUUUCAGUUUUGAAGAAAUCUGAACACCGAUAUCAUUGGAUACAUCGAUCAGAUCCCCACUAUGUCAGAUCGUAGACAAGUUUAGUGUUCCUACUAGGUGUGGUAGCCCUCUCAUGAAGAGUCUUCGAAACAGACCUCGUGGCUACAUCCAUCAACCAUUAUCUCAACGAUAAUGUUUCUUGUGUUGCUCGGAUGCAAACAGGUUACAUAAUAAGCAAUAUCACUAUAUUGCAUAUCUUGCAAGUUAAAUCAAUGUGACUGAUUUGUUCAGCGGGUCUCUACUAACUUCUAUGUUUUGGUAUGUGACGGCUUCGAAUUUUGCAAGAAUCAGGGGAAGUACCUUCCUGAAUUGUUCAUGUUCAAUGCAUCAUAUUAUACUCUUUUUCCUUUCAUGAGUUUACUUUACAGAUUCUCAUAAAGGUUUUUAAUGAGGUAAUAUCAACACAAGACCAUAUGUCAUAUUUUCUGUUUUCCCUACCGGGGUUUUUAAGAAAGUAUAGACGACAUAUUUAUUGUCCUGUAAACUCUAUGAGUUUUCUCGUAUCGAGUUAAAAAAGACAAUAACCAUUAUAUGUUGCAUUAUUUUUUCUUUUUUUUCCACUGGGUUUGAAGGAGUUUUAGCAACAUAUCAAACACCUAUCUCCUUGUAUUUUUCCCACAGGGUUUUUGGAGGAGCUUCUCAAGAUGAUGAUACUUACACUAACAAGCAUGGAUUAGGGGGAGUGUUAGGAUUUAAUUAAUCCUAUUAAUCCCUGUUUUUCCUAAUUGAGGCGGUUGUCUCGUGUCCCUUCACCCCUUCAGGGGCUAUAUAUAUGUGUAAUUCCAUCAUCAAUGAAAACAACUAUUCUACUAUUUGUCAUUUG